UGGAGCUGAAAUCAGUCGAAGAUACCAGCUGGCUGCAACUGUUUAUUAAAAACACAGCACUGUGCAAACACGAAAGUGGACGUAUACGGUGUGACGCCUGCCCGGUGCCGGAAGGUUAAUUGAUGGGGUUAUCCUCACGGAGAAGCUCUUGAUCGAAGCCCCGGUAAACGGCGGCCGUAACUAUAACGGUCCUAAGGUAGCGAAAUUCCUUGUCGGGUAAGUUCCGACCUGCACGAAUGGCGUAAUGAUGGCCAGGCUGUCUCCACCCGAGACUCAGUGAAAUUGAACUCGCUGUGAAGAUGCAGUGUACCCGCGGCAAGACGGAAAGACCCCGUGAACCUUUACUAUAGCUUGACACUGAACACUGGUCCUUGAUGUGUAGGAUAGGUGGGAGGCUUUGAAGUGUGGACGCCAGUCUGCAUGGAGCCAUCCUUGAAAUACCACCCUUUAAUGGCUGGUGUUCUAACGUGGGCCCGUAAUCCGGGUUGCGGACAGUGUCUGGUGGGUAGUUUGACUGGGGCGGUCUCCUCCUAAAGAGUAACGGAGGAGCACGAAGGUCAGCUAAUCCUGGUCGGACAUCAGGAGGUUAGUGCAAUGGCAUAAGCUGGCUUGACUGCGAGCGUGACGGCGCGAGCAGGUGCGAAAGCAGGUCAUAGUGAUCCGGUGGUUCUGAAUGGAAGGGCCAUCGCUCAACGGAUAAAAGGUACUCCGGGGAUAACAGGCUGAUACCGCCCAAGAGUUCAUAUCGACGGCGGUGUUUGGCACCUCGAUGUCGGCUCAUCACAUCCUGGGGCUGAAGUAGGUCCCAAGGGUAUGGCUGUUCGCCAUUUAAAGUGGUACGCGAGCUGGGUUUAGAACGUCGUGAGACAGUUCGGUCCCUAUCUGCCGUGGGCGCUGGAGAAUUGAGGGGGGCUGCUCCUAGUACGAGAGGACCGGAGUGGACGCAUCACUGGUGUUCGGGUUGUCAUGCCAAUGGCAUUGCCCGGUAGCUAAAUGCGGAAGAGAUAAGUGCUGAAAGCAUCUAAGCACGAAACUUGCCCCGAGAUGAGUUCUCCCUGACCCUUUAAGGGUCCUGAAGGAACGUUGAAGACGACGACGUUGAUAGGCCGGGUGUGUAAGCGCAGCGAUGCGUUGAGCUAACCGGUACUAAUGAACCGUGAGGCUUAACCUU
rnacentral:rRNA from 2 species